GGGUUGUGAGGUUAAGCGACUAAGCGUACACGGUGGAUGCCCUGGCAGUCAGAGGCGAUGAAGGACGUGCUAAUCUGCGAAAAGCGUCGGUAAGGUGAUAUGAACCGUUAUAACCGGCGAUGUCCGAAUGGGGAAACCCAGUGCAAUUCGUUGCACUAUCGUUAACUGAAUACAUAGGUUAACGAGGCGAACCGGGGGAACUGAAACAUCUAAGUACCCCGAGGAAAAGAAAUCAACCGAGAUUCCCCCAGUAGCGGCGAGCGAACGGGGAGGAGCCCAGAGUCUGAAUCAGCUUGUGUGUUAGUGGAACGGUCUGGAAAGUCCGACGGUACAGGGUGAUAGUCCCGUACACCAAAAUGCACAGGCUGUGAACUCGAAGAGUAGGGCGGGACACGUGGUAUCCUGUCUGAAUAUGGGGGGACCAUCCUCCAAGGCUAAAUACUCCUGACUGACCGAUAGUGAACCAGUACCGUGAGGGAAAGGCGAAAAGAACCCCGGCGAGGGGAGUGAAAAAGAACCUGAAACCGUGUACGUACAAGCAGUGGGAGCACCUUCGGGUGUGACUGCGUACCUUUUGUAUAAUGGGUCAGCGACUUAUAUUCUGUAGCAAGGUUAACCGUAUAGGGGAGCCGCAGGGAAACCGAGUCUUAACUGGGCGUUAAGUUGCAGGGUAUAGACCCGAAACCCGGUGAUCUAGCCAUGGGCAGGUUGAAGGUUGGGUAACACUAACUGGAGGACCGAACCGACUAAUGUUGAAAAAUUAGCGGAUGACUUGUGGCUGGGGGUGAAAGGCCAAUCAAACCGGGAGAUAGCUGGUUCUCCCCGAAAGCUAUUUAGGUAGCGCCUCGUGAACUCAUCUUCGGGGGUAGAGCACUGUUUCGGCUAGGGGGUCAUCCCGACUUACCAACCCGAUGCAAACUACGAAUACCGAAGAAUGUUAUCACGGGAGACACACGGCGGGUGCUAACGUCCGUCGUGAAGAGGGAAACAACCCAGACCGCCAGCUAAGGUCCCAAAGUCAUGGUUAAGUGGGAAACGAUGUGGGAAGGCACAGACAGCCAGGAUGUUGGCUUAGAAGCAGCCAUCAUUUAAAGAAAGCGUAAUAGCUCACUGGUCGAGUCGGCCUGCGCGGAAGAUGUAACGGGGCUAAACCAUGCACCGAAGCUGCGGCAGCGACACUAUGUGUUGUUGGGUAGGGGAGCGUUCUGUAAGCCUGCGAAGGUGACCUGUGAGGGUUGCUGGAGGUAUCAGAAGUGCGAAUGCUGACAUAAGUAACGAUAAAGCGGGUGAAAAGCCCGCUCGCCGGAAGACCAAGGGUUCCUGUCCAACGUUAAUCGGGGCAGGGUGAGUCGACCCCUAAGGCGAGGCCGAAAGGCGUAGUCGAUGGGAAACAGGUUAAUAUUCCUGUACUUGGUGUUACUGCGAAGGGGGGACGGAGAAGGCUAUGUUAGCCGGGCGACGGUUGUCCCGGUUUAAGCAUGUAGGCUGGUUAUCCAGGCAAAUCCGGAUAAUCAAGGCUGAGGUGUGAUGACGAGGCACUACGGUGCUGAAGUAACAAAUGCCCUGCUUCCAGGAAAAGCCUCUAAGCAUCAGGUAACACGAAAUCGUACCCCAAACCGACACAGGUGGUCAGGUAGAGAAUACCAAGGCGCUUGAGAGAACUCGGGUGAAGGAACUAGGCAAAAUGGUGCCGUAACUUCGGGAGAAGGCACGCUGGUGUGUAGGUGAAGUCCCUGCGGAUGGAGCUGAGACCAGUCGAAGAUACCAGCUGGCUGCAACUGUUUAUUAAAAACACAGCACUGUGCAAACACGAAAGUGGACGUAUACGGUGUGACGCCUGCCCGGUGCCGGAAGGUUAAUUGAUGGGGUUAUCCGUAAGGAGAAGCUCUUGAUCGAAGCCCCGGUAAACGGCGGCCGUAACUAUAACGGUCCUAAGGUAGCGAAAUUCCUUGUCGGGUAAGUUCCGACCUGCACGAAUGGCGUAAUGAUGGCCAGGCUGUCUCCACCCGAGACUCAGUGAAAUUGAACUCGCUGUGAAGAUGCAGUGUACCCGCGGCAAGACGGAAAGACCCCGUGAACCUUUACUAUAGCUUGACACUGAACAUUGAGCCUUGAUGUGUAGGAUAGGUGGGAGGCUUUGAAGCGUGGACGCCAGUCUGCGUGGAGCCAACCUUGAAAUACCACCCUUUAAUGUUUGAUGUUCUAACGUUGGCCCCUGACCGGGGUUGCGGACAGUGUCUGGUGGGUAGUUUGACUGGGGCGGUCUCCUCCCAAAGCGUAACGGAGGAGCACGAAGGUUAGCUAAUCCUGGUCGGACAUCAGGAGGUUAGUGCAAUGGCAUAAGCUAGCUUGACUGCGAGCGUGACGGCGCGAGCAGGUGCGAAAGCAGGUCAUAGUGAUCCGGUGGUUCUGAAUGGAAGGGCCAUCGCUCAACGGAUAAAAGGUACUCCGGGGAUAACAGGCUGAUACCGCCCAAGAGUUCAUAUCGACGGCGGUGUUUGGCACCUCGAUGUCGGCUCAUCACAUCCUGGGGCUGAAGUAGGUCCCAAGGGUAUGGCUGUUCGCCAUUUAAAGUGGUACGCGAGCUGGGUUUAGAACGUCGUGAGACAGUUCGGUCCCUAUCUGCCGUGGGCGCUGGAGAAUUGAGGGGGGCUGCUCCUAGUACGAGAGGACCGGAGUGGACGCAUCACUGGUGUUCGGGUUGUCAUGCCAAUGGCACUGCCCGGUAGCUAAAUGCGGAAGAGAUAAGUGCUGAAAGCAUCUAAGCACGAAACUUGCCCCGAGAUGAGUUCUCCCUGAGACUUUAAGUCUCCUGAAGGAACGUUGAAGACGACGACGUUGAUAGGCCGGGUGUGUAAGCGCAGCGAUGCGUUGAGCUAACCGGUACUAAUGAACCGUGAGGCUUAACCUUACAACGCCGAAG
rnacentral:rRNA from 1 species